rnacentral:rRNA from 1 species
GUGAGGUAACGGCCCACCAAGUCGACGAUCAGUAGCCGGACUGAGAGGGUGAUCGGCCACAUUGGAACUGAGACACGGUCCAGACUCCUACGGGAGGCAGCAGUGGGGAAUAUUGCGCAAUGGGGGAAACCCUGACGCAGCAACGCCGCGUGGGUGAUGAAGGUCUUCGGAUUGUAAAGCCCUGUUUUCUGGGACGAUAAUGACGGUACCAGAGGAGGAAGCCACGGCUAACUAC